rnacentral:rRNA from 1 species
AUGAACGCUGGCGGCGUGCCUAAUACAUGCAAGUCGAGCGAACAGACGAGGAGCUUGCUCCUCUGACGUUAGCGGCGGACGGGUGAGUAACACGUGGAUAACCUACCUAUAAGACUGGGAUAACUUCGGGAAACCGGAGCUAAUACCGGAUAAUAUAUUGAACCGCAUGGUUCAAUAGUGAAAGACGGUUUUGCUGUCACUUAUAGAUGGAUCCGCGCCGCAUUAGCUAGUUGGUAAGGUAACGGCUUACCAAGGCGACGAUGCGUAGCCGACCUGAGAGGGUGAUCGGCCACACUGGAACUGAGACACGGUCCAGACUCCUACGGGAGGCAGCAGUAGGGAAUCUUCCGCAAUGGGAGAAAGCCUGACGGAGCAACGCCGCGUGAGUGAUGAAGGUCUUCGGAUCGUAAAACUCUGUUAUUAGGGAAGAACAAAUGUGUAAGUAACUAUGCACGUCUUGACGGUACCUAAUCAGAAAGCCACGGCUAACUACGUG